UUUUGGCGGGGGCAGCGCCGGCUGCGGAGGGAAACGCUUGGCUCUCCGGGACCGGCGCCUGCCGCGGUGCGGAUGCGUAUGGACGAAUCCUCGUGAAAACAGCUCCCGACGUUUUCCCCCACCCCCCCCAAAAAAAAAAACCAAACCCAAACAAACCACCCACUUGGAUAAUUAAAACGGUUUUUGGCAGUAUCCAGUGUUGCUAAGGAUGAUUUAAUUCCUACUACCGGUCCUAUUCCCAGAGGCAGCUUCUCCAA
rnacentral:lncRNA from 1 species